rnacentral:rRNA from 1 species
AAAUAGAACUUUGCAGAGAGAGUUAACAGGGCGUGAAACCGUUAAUUGGCAAACGAAUCGGAGCCACGAAGUCGUUUCGCAGUUGAGUCGGGCGCCAGUUCAGCGUGCCUCGCAAGGGGUGCGUGUAUUCUGGUGCUGGCCAGCUUUGUAAGCGUACACUGCAACUAGUUAGACGACUGGCCAUGGGCACAGUUCCUCGGCUUAGUAGUGUUGCGCUUGGCUUCGGUCUCGCGUGGCGCUUGGGCCGCGGCAAGUGAACUAUGGCCAGAUACUGACUAGCGAAAUGAAAAUCGCCGCAAGGCGUAAGAGACAAAGCUCUUGGCUGGAUGGGCGUCUACGCCAACGACUGCUGGGUUUAAGCUCGGCGCUCUUCAAUCUGGACUUGCUUGCUACCAGUGGGGCAACUCCUGGUGCUUGUACAGCUUCCACCUAAUGGGGCGUUGACUUGAUCUAGUACGUUCGCGGGCGCAUCGAUCGGAUGUUCAUCCAAGUCAGGCAGCAAUUGAAUUGGCAGUGAGUAGGUCGGCUUUCCGAACGACCCGUCUUGAAACACGGACCAAGGAGUCUAAUUGGGCAUCGAGUCGAUCGGUCUUGACUAGGCCAGACAGCGAGAUUCCUCGCGAGAAGGCGCAGAGAAUCGUGUGAUCGGUCGGGCAACUACAGCCUGGCCGCGCAACAUGUGCGUGCUCAAACGCUAUGUGCAAGAUAGUAGGGCGCAGCAAAGAGAUGCCCGAUUGGGACCCGAAAGAUGGUGAUGCUUGGGCAAAUUGAAGCCAGAGGAAACUCUGGUGGAGGAUUUAGUCUGACGUGCAAAUCGAUCGUCAGACCUGAGUAUAGGGGCGAAAGACUAAUCGAACCAUC